UACGUAGGGGGCAAGCGUUGUCCGGACUUAUUGGGCGUAAAGGGCGCGUAGGCGGUUUGACAAGUCUGAUGUGAAAUCUCUGGGCUCAACCCAGAGUCUGCAUUAGAAACUGUCGGGCUUGAGUAUGGGAGAGGUGAGUGGAAUUUCCGGUGUAGCGGUGAAAUGCGUAGAUAUCGGAAGGAACACCUGUGGCGAAAGCGGCUCACUGGACCAUAACUGACGCUGAGGCGCGAAAGCUAGGGGAGCAAACAGG
rnacentral:rRNA from 1 species